rnacentral:rRNA from 1 species
CCUACGGGUGGCAGCAGUGGGGAAUAUUGGUCAAUGGGCGCAAGCCUGACCCAGCAACGCCGCGUGAAGGAAGAAGGCUCUCGGGGUUUUAACUUCUUUUCUCAGGGACGAAGAAAGUGACGGUACCUGAGGAAUAAGCCACGGCUAACUACGUGCCAGCAGCCGCGGGAAUACGUAGGGGGCAAGGGUUAUCCGGAUUUGUUGGGUUUAAAGGGCGUGUUGGCGGGAGCGCAAGUCAGAUGUGAAAACUGAGGGCUCAACCCUGAGCCUGCAUUUGAAACUGUGUUUCUUGAGUGCUGGAGAGGCAAGCGGAAUGCGGGGUGUAGCGGUGAAAUGCGUAGAUAUACGGAGGAACACCAGUGGCGAAGGCAGAUUGCUGGACAGUAACUGACGCUGAGGCGCGAAAGCGUGGGGAGCAAACAGGAUUAGAUACCCGGGUAGUC